UGCUUAAUUAAAGGGACACUGUAGGCACCGAGACCACUUCUGCCCAUUGGAGUGGUCUGGGUGCAAACUCCCAUCACCCUUAACCCUGUAGUGGUGAUUAUUGCAGUUUUUAUAAACUGCAAUAAUUACAUCUGAGGGUUAACUCCUCUAGUGGCUGUCUACCAGACUAGAGGGACUUUCGGAAUUGAAACAGACAUUUGGUCCGUUAUCUGAC